UACCGAAAAAAUAUCUAUCUAAUCAAAAGACUAACAUCAUGUACAUAUUGUAAAAUCUAGUCAAAAUUAAUAAAAAGUCAUCAAGUCACAUAGAUAUUUUAAAAUACGACGAAUUUAAAAUUUUACAUGAAAAAUUACUAGAAAUGAUUAAUUUUACAUGAAAAAUUACUAGAAAUGAUAAUAACAGCCACUCCACCACCACUUUCGAUUUGCCCUGGCUCACAUAUCACUUUAUAAGUAACAAUAAAAGUAACCCUAAAUAUCCACAUCAAAAUUAAGCUCAAACAACUUUAGCGACUUGUUCUCAAGUCUCUUAUCCACAAAAAUUAGACCAAAUGGGGGACCUUGAAGGACCACAAGUUUGACAACAUCUUCCCUCCAACCCCUUUGUUUUAGAGACUUUGAUUUGAAAACAUCCUUAUGACCAAACCAUCAAAAGCUUUAAUAAUUCUUCCUUCCCAUCAAAUCAUUUGCCUGCCCAUUGCUUUCAUUGUCCCACCCAUCAAAACCAAUCUAACGGCUCAGAAUUGACCAUUGGUGGACCCUUUGCCAGCUUACAGGUAACAUGCAAUUUUUUCAUCCAUCAUCAU
rnacentral:lncRNA from 1 species